GUUGGGUAGGGGAGCGUUCUGUAAGCCUGCGAAGGUGGCCUGUGAGGGUUGCUGGAGGUAUCAGAAGUGCGAAUGCUGACAUAAGUAACGAUAAAGCGGGUGAAAAGCCCGCUCGCCGGAAGACCAAGGGUUCCUGUCCAACGUUAAUCGGGGCAGGGUGAGUCGACCCCUAAGGCGAGGCCGAAAGGCGUAGUCGAUGGGAAACGGGUUAAUAUUCCCGUACUUGGUGUUACUGCGAAGGGGGGACGGAGAAGGCUAUGUUGGCCGGGCGACGGUUGUCCCGGUUUAAGCGUGUAGGUGUGUGUUCCAGGUAAAUCCGGUUCACUUUAACACUGAGGCGUGAUGACGAGGCACUACGGUGCUGAAGCAACAAAUGCCCUGCUUCCAGGAAAAGCCUCUAAGCAUCAGGUAACAUCAAAUCGUACCCCAAACCGACACAGGUGGUCAGGUAGAGAAUACCAAGGCGCUUGAGAGAACUCGGGUGAAGGAACUAGGCAAAAUGGUGCCGUAACUUCGGGAGAAGGCACGCUGACACGUAGGUGAAGUGAUUUACUCAUGGAGCUGAAGUCAGUCGAAGAUACCAGCUGGCUGCAACUGUUUAUUAAAAACACAGCACUGUGCAAACACGAAAGUGGACGUAUACGGUGUGACGCCUGCCCGGUGCCGGAAGGUUAAUUGAUGGGGUCAGCGCAAGCGAAGCUCCUGAUCGAAGCCCCGGUAAACGGCGGCCGUAACUAUAACGGUCCUAAGGUAGCGAAAUUCCUUGUCGGGUAAGUUCCGACCUGCACGAAUGGCGUAAUGAUGGCCAGGCUGUCUCCACCCGAGACUCAGUGAAAUUGAACUCGCUGUGAAGAUGCAGUGUACCCGCGGCAAGACGGAAAGACCCCGUGAACCUUUACUAUAGCUUGACACUGAACAUUGAGCCUUGAUGUGUAGGAUAGGUGGGAGGCUUUGAAGUGUGGACGCCAGUCUGCAUGGAGCCGACCUUGAAAUACCACCCUUUAAUGUUUGAUGUUCUAACGUGGACCCGUGAUCCGGGUUGCGGACAGUGUCUGGUGGGUAGUUUGACUGGGGCGGUCUCCUCCUAAAGAGUAACGGAGGAGCACGAAGGUUGGCUAAUCCUGGUCGGACAUCAGGAGGUUAGUGCAAUGGCAUAAGCCAGCUUGACUGCGAGCGUGACGGCGCGAGCAGGUGCGAAAGCAGGUCAUAGUGAUCCGGUGGUUCUGAAUGGAAGGGCCAUCGCUCAACGGAUAAAAGGUACUCCGGGGAUAACAGGCUGAUACCGCCCAAGAGUUCAUAUCGACGGCGGUGUUUGGCACCUCGAUGUCGGCUCAUCACAUCCUGGGGCUGAAGUAGGUCCCAAGGGUAUGGCUGUUCGCCAUUUAAAGUGGUACGCGAGCUGGGUUUAGAACGUCGUGAGACAGUUCGGUCCCUAUCUGCCGUGGGCGCUGGAGAACUGAGGGGGGCUGCUCCUAGUACGAGAGGACCGGAGUGGACGCAUCACUGGUGUUCGGGUUGUCAUGCCAAUGGCACUGCCCGGUAGCUAAAUGCGGAAGAGAUAAGUGCUGAAAGCAUCUAAGCACGAAACUUGCCCCGAGAUGAGUUCUCCCUGAGACUUAGAGUCUCCUGAAGGAACGUUGAAGACGACGACGUUGAUAGGCCGGGUGUGUAAGCGCAGCGAUGCGUUGAGCUAACCGGUACUAAUGAACCGUGAGGCUUAACCUUACAACGCCGAAG
rnacentral:rRNA from 1 species